UACGGGGGGGGCAAGCGUUGUUCGGAAUUACUGGGCGUAAAGGGCUCGUAGGCGGCCAACUAAGUCAGACGUGAAAUCCCUCGGCUUAACCGGGGAACUGCGUCUGAUACUGGAUGGCUUGAGUUCGGGAGAGGGAUGCGGAAUUCCAGGUGUAGCGGUGAAAUGCGUAGAUAUCUGGAGGAACACCGGUGGCGAAGGCGGCAUCCUGGACCGAUACUGACGCUGAUGAGCGAAAGCCAGGGGAGCAAACGGGG
rnacentral:rRNA from 1 species